rnacentral:misc_RNA from 1 species
UCCGGCUUAUCACCGGCGGUUUCUUUAGAGUGCCCAACUAAAUGAUGGCAACUAAAGACGAGGGUUGCGCUCGUUACGGGACUUAACCCAACAUCUCACGACACGAGCUGACGACAGCCAUGCAGCACCUGUCUCUGCGCUCCCGAAGGCACCAAGGUAUCUCUACCAAGUUCGCAGGAUGUCAAGACCAGGUAAGGUUCUUCGCGUUGCGUCGAAUUAAACCACAUGCUCCACCGCUUGUGCGGGCCCCCGUCAAUUCAUUUGAGUUUUAGCCUUGCGGCCGUACUCCCCAGGCGGGGCACUUAAUGCGUUAGCUACGGCACAGAUCGCGUUGAUAACGACCCACACCUAGCGCCCACCGUUUACGGCGUGGACUAC